UACGGGGGGGAGCAAGCGUUUGUUCGGAUUUACUGGGCGUAAAGGGCGCGUAGGCGGCGUGACAAGUCACUUGUGAAAUCUCCGGGCUUAACUCGGAACGGUCAAGUGAUACUGUCGUGCUAGAGUACAGAAGGGGCAACUGGAAUUCUCGGUGUAGCGGUGAAAUGCGUAGAUAUCGAGAGGAACACCUGCGGCGAAGGCGGGUUGCUGGGCUGAUACUGACGCUUGGAGGCGCGAAAGCCAGGGGGAGCGAACGGGG
rnacentral:rRNA from 1 species